rnacentral:lncRNA from 1 species
AGUCCAUGGAGGGUUCUGUUUGUGGGAGAAAGGAUGUGGUGUCUUACUAGGGUUUUUCCGUUGCGCGAGCGCGCUUGCGUGUGCACACACACACACACACACACACACACAGAGUAGCAUAUACGGUUUGCAUUGGGAGUAGAGGGUGAGGAGAACGAGCGGAAUACAAGUACACCCGGCUAGCCUUAGCUCCCAGAGCCCAUCUGAUAGAAAACACAGAGUUGAGAGACUGACUCCUUCAUAGCCCAGGAAUUGCAGUUCCGGUGUCUAUCUUGGAGACUAAACUGCUGUGCAGCCCCUACAGCCAGGAAGAACGGAGUCUGACUCAGUACCCAGCGCUGCCCCGCUGUGGCCUCUGUUUCAAUUACUCUUGUAAAACAGCUUCCUAACCUUGACCUAUGUGCAUAAAGGGACUGGGGAAAGGGAGAGCCGUGGUCGAAAACUAAACACAAUUAAAUGUGAUUUAAAAUAAGUCUGCACCCUGAAAGAAAAGCGUACUGGUUAUAUCCAGCAAAAAGCUGCUGGCAUCAAGAGACGAGUUUUCAGUAGCAGGGGCCACGCGGAUGUUGAGAAAGAGGACCUCAUAAUUUUCAGCAUCUACUCUUUCUAAGAGCAACUUUGCAAUAACUGCUUUCCCAACUAUGCGUACCUAUAUACAUCCUGAGUAAAAACUGGAGCGUCCUAAAAGAGCCGUAUUUCAUAAGCCCUGUAAUCAGAAAAACGCAGGAGGCUGUCCUUACCCCCUUGAGACAAAUGAAGCGCUGUUUGUGCUCUUCAGGACUAUUCGCUUCUGCUUCUGACCAGGUGACAGGGGUCUGGCGGAGGGUGGGGCUUUAUGAACAGGGGCCAAGGGAAGAUGGUCCGUGGUGUGUUAUUAAUGGAGGGGCAGCCUGAGCCUUUUAAUAGAAUGGGAAAGUAUCUCAGUGCCAUUGGCUGACAUGUGGCAUAUUGUCACCUGGGGAGCCAAAGAGAAGCCAAAGUCUAGAGAUCUAGAUUCUAGACCGAGCUUUCCUGGAAACCCUCUGAGGGUGGGCCCUGAGGCAGACCCUUGGGUUAGCAGAAGAAAACCUUCUCCCAUGUUUGCCCAUACAAUCCCUCACAAGACCUGAGAUGAAAGGCAAUGGAUGGUACCAUCGUGACCUGUCACAGACACAUGCAUGUUACAUAUUUGUGAUUAUUACCUAUCAAACCCUCUCACCACCUCCUCACACCACGGAAAUCAAUCAGCCCUUUUGGGGAAGAGGAUGUGAAGAAAAGUCUCCCUCUAGAAUAACAACCUGGCCUCGUGGAAAAUGGCCUACAUUGGAGGACACCGAGUUAGUGUCGGAUUUCUACCAUCCCUGCCUUGGAUUAAAUGAAGAAACAGAAAUGCCAGCAAAUGAAGUGACUUCAAGCCCCAGAACCUUAGAGCCGAAAGAGCCCUUCCAAAUAGUGGAUUCCAGGUUCCUCGUUUUACAGGUGAGAAGACACUUCACAGAUUAGAUGGCACAUUCAAGGUCGCCAGGCUGAUAGUGAUGUAGAUGGAAACCUCCCUGUCAGACCACUGGGCAAGCGUUCUUUCCGUGAUCACGCCACAGUGCAGAGAUAAGAUGAGACCUGGGCUCGCUAACUCACCUCAAGCCAUCAACCAGCAUUCACGGAGCAUCUCCUAGUGUGUGCACUGAACCCUCGGCACCGGCUUCUCCAUCCACCUUUGUCCAAGGGACCAAAGGGUUGAACUGCAAUUCAGCUUGAAUUUAAAAAUCUAGAUAUAAUUAGAAUUAUUUUGCUUUCCAAUGUUGCACCAGUCUAGUCUUAGCUCCUUUUCUCCUUUGGGUAAAAUCUUUUUUUUUUUUUUAAUUUUUAAGGGUAAAGAACUUAAGAUAU